AAGCUCGUAGUUGAAUUUCGGGGUUCUACCGUCGGUCGGGCUACCAAGUCUGUACUGGUGUGUAGAAUUUCUACCUUCUGGGGAACCAUCAUGUUAUUAAUUUAGCGUGGUGGAAACCAGGACCUUUACCUUGAAAAAAUUAGAGUGUUCAAAGCAGGCUUAUGUCUGAAUACAUUAGCAUGGAAUAAUAGAAUAGGACGGUGGUCCUGUUUUGUUGGUUUCUGAAUCACCGUAAUGAUUAAUAGGGAUAGUUGGG
rnacentral:rRNA from 1 species